GGGCCUGUAGUGUAGCAAUCGGGGUGUAAAGUCGCCCUGACUACAAUGGAUAUCACUGGGGCCUCCGGAGCCCUAAACUCGGGUUCAAAUCCCGGCAGGCCCG
rnacentral:tRNA from 1 species